CCUGGUAUCUCAGAUAAUAAAGAGUCUGCCUGCAAUGCAGGAGACCUGGGUUCAAUCCCUGGAUCAGGA
rnacentral:tRNA from 1 species